rnacentral:misc_RNA from 1 species
AAAGUCGUAACAAGGUUUCCGUAGGUGAACCUGCGGAAGGAUCAUUAAAAUGUGGCAGCAAGCAGUUGUGCGAAGAUGAACCACCCUUGCCUUUACAAGCACCCGCAUAUGUUUUCCUCGGCGGCCUACCAUGGCCGCCAACAGAAACCAACCAAACGCUUUGCAAUGAGCAGUGACAGUCUGAUACACCUUUAACUCAUCACAACUUUCAACGAUGGAUCUCUUGGCUCUG